CAGGAAACUUCUCCAUAUCUCUUCUGCAAAGAUGAAGUUCUUUGUCGUUUUCAUCCUAGCUGCUCUGGCUGGUGCACUUGUCUGUGGCCAAGAGACUCCCUCUGACCCUGUGGCUGAAGAGCCUGUAGACAAUGCAGCCAACCCAGAAGCCCCUGCAGAAGUAACCUCAGAGCCAACGACAGCCCCUGCAGAAGCAAGUUCAGACACUGCGCAGACAACUUUAGCAGCUGAAGAGUCAGCUGAGAAUCAAAUGGCCACUACUCAAAAAGCGGAACCCAGUAUCACCAGAUUAGCAUUAAUUAAGCCUUUUGCAACCUACGUGAAGAAUAAAAUUGAAGAGGCUGAAGAGAGAAUCAAGACUAAAGUGAGUGCAGCAGUUAAGAAGACUCCUCGUAAAUAUGUCCUUUUCUCCUGAGCAACCUGAAGAAACUGGCUAGAAUUCAACCUUCAAAGGAAUUACAAAUAUUGUAU
ensembl:lncRNA